rnacentral:rRNA from 1 species
ACGCGUGGGUAACCUGCCCCUGAAUUCGGGAUAACUCCGCGAAAGCGGUGCUAAUACCGAAUGUCGUCACAGGGACCGUGGUCCCUGGGAUGAAAGGUGACCUCUCCAUGGAAGUUGCCGUUCGGGGAGGGGCUCGCGUACCAUUAGCUUGUUGGUGGGGUAAUGGCCUACCAAGGCUACGAUGGUUAGCUGGUCUGAGAGGAUGAUCAGCCACACUGGCACUGAAACACGGGCCAGACUCCUACGGGAGGCAGCAGUGAGGAAUUUUGCGCAAUGGGGGAAACCCUGACGCAGCAACGCCGCGUGAGUGAAGAAGGCUUUCGGGUCGUAAAGCUCUGUCAAGUGGGAAAAACGUCUUCCCGUUAACAGCGGGGAGGCCUGAUGGUACCACUGGAGGAAGCACCGGCUAACUCCGUGCCAGCAGCCGCGGUAAUACGGAGGGUGCAAGCGUUGUUCGGAAUUACUGGGCGUAAAGAGCGUGUAGGCGGCAAGGUAAGUCAGGCGUGAAAGCCCUGGGCUUAACCCGGGAAGUGCGUUUGAAACUGCCUCGCUCGAGUAUGGGAGAGGAGAGUGGAAUUCCCGGUGUAGAGGUGAAAUUCGUAGAUAUCGGGAGGAACACCCGUGGCGAAGGCGACUCUCUGNGACCAAAUACUUGAACGCCUGAAGACGCGAAAAGCGUGGGGAGCAAACAGGAUUAGAUACCCUGGUAGUCCACGCCGUAAACGAUGAGCACUAGGUGUACGGGUAUUGACCCCUGCUG